CCACAAACAAGCAUAAUUUGUGUCAUGAACAAGUACUGAAAUUUGAACAUGCUAGGAAAAGUGAUCUACAACCUAUAAACCAAUACAAAAAAAAUUCAUAAUUUGUUGUUCAGUUCUUUGUUGCAUUUCAUGAAUCAUCACAAGUGCUUUUGGGCCACGAAUACAAUCGCAUGCAUAUAAUAAUAAUAAUAAUAAUUUUGUACAGUUCAGUGACCUGGUGCAAGUCAUUCAAGUGGACACCCUUUGGUGACUUGCAUGCCCCUAACCUACCCCAACUAUCCAACCAGAGAAAGGGGCUUACAAUAUAAUAGGGAAUCCAAACCAAAUGCAAUUUCUGGUGGGUCCUCACAUUAUUGUGAGGUGAAGGAUAGGUGAAAAUGCAGACUGAAAAAUCCAUUGUCCUACUGAGAUUCAGUCCCUUGCCCUCUCGGUUUCCAAGCAUAUUUGGAUAGUGUGACUUAUUCUUCCAUCAUGUACGACUGUAGUAUUAGGGAUGAAAAUACAGUAAAAAUACUGGUAAAAAUAUUAAAAAUACUAAGUCUGAGAUAGUCGCUCAUAAUUUCUGAAGUUCAGCAUCUAGAAUAGUGAAAAAGGAUAGAAGUCAUUAUCCUUCUCUGUUAGCAUAAAUUAUCAGUGAAUAUAUUUAGCUACACCUCUUGAUGUUCUAAUAUGUGUACACGUUAUUCACAAUUCUGGUAAAAUGAAACUACAUGUAUAAAAUUAAUACAGCCUCCCAGUUCUUUAAAGUUAUGUUCUUCUAACUGUCAUCUUAUCAGGUAAACUAUCUUACAGCAGCAAAACGUAGUUUAUUUCUAAUCAAGGGAAGUCAUCAAUCCACAACAAAAGCUACUUCUUUUAUAAAUGCUUCUCUCUGUUGAUAUUAACCGGCACAAGCUAUUAAUAUCUAAUAGUUUCCUCUAUACAUUGAAGAUCUUAUGAUGAAGCCUAAUACGGUAGUGCGGCAUACCCAGAUUUGAUGCAUGUGGUCUUUGUGAUCAAGUUUAUAUUCAAGUGUAGAUGGUGACUAUACAGGGCUAUUUUGUAAAAGGCUUCUAUGACUUUAUAUAUUUACUCCUAACUGCAGAUAAGAUUUCAUUUCAACUCUGGAUACCAGAUAUAACUUGACAAUUUAUGCUUAAGAAUAUGAAAACCAAAACUUUUUUCACUUGAAAGAAAGAAGGAGACAGUAGCAAGGUUUAUUGUUUCAUUUAAUUAAUUAAGACUUUAUUGGAAUUAUUUGGAAUCUGCUCACUACAAAAUGCAUUGGAAUAGGACAAGCUAUAAUAGGAAAAAUUUGUUGCCCUGGAGAGUGCAUCAUUAUACACUAGUUCAUUUUUAAAGAUAAAACAGUGGAGUUAAAUUAACAGCUGAAUUUCAUCAUCCAGUUUAUGUCUGUUUAAAUAAGCUUUGUGUCUUUUCACAUGAUUGAAACAUCCUGUACUGACAUUUUUAGCAUUUGCAGAAGCAAUAGUUUCCUCUGGUUCAUCAUGCACCAUCACUACAAGAGGUGUAUUAAAGGUAGAGAGGAUGAUGUUCAGACCUAAAUCAAUAUAAAAAGCAUACCAGUACUUAUCAAACAAUGGAAACUCCAGGUAGGGAUAUCAACAAUGUAGGAAAAGACAGAUUGCUACUUACCUUAAAGAAGACAUGUUAAGUUGCAGAUAGGCAUGAUUAAAAGACACUUACGUAGAGCUUUCGGCCACAGCCUUCAUCAGUAAAGAGAAGCACACACCAUUCACACACACAAUCAAGCACACACGACUGCCAAUUCCAGCAUCUCAGGCCGGAAUGCAUUCUGGCUUGAGAUGAUGGUGUUGGCAGUCGUGUGUGGUUGGGGUGUGCUUGCUUGUGGGUGUGAAUGGUACGUGUGUCUCCUUUACUGAUGAAGGCUGUUGCCAAAAACUCUAUGUGAGUGUAUUUUAAUUGUACCUGUCAGAAACUUGACACAUCUUCUUUAUGGUAAGUAGCAUUUUAGUACUUAUCCAUUUGUAGAUUUCCAAAUUCUCUUCACAGUGCUUCGUACAUGUAAUAAUAUGAAAUUUACUGUCAUAGCAUUCCUUUUGAAGAACUUAAGUCAUAAUAAUUUUUUGGUUGUUAUGAAGUUGCUGAUUUCAGCUGCUGUGUCAUGCUUAGUUUGAUUACAGUUGUCAUAUGAAGAUACCAUAUCCUUUCCUUCAAUUCUUGAAAAUAAAGUCUGUUCAUUUGUACCAGGAACAGUUGAAUUGUGCUUAAAAAUUGUGUAUUGCCGAGUUUCAAUGGUUUUUGUGUACUGAGGAACAAAAAGUGAGUCUUCUUUUCUACUGAAUACUUGUUUGCCUAGUCAUUUUACAUCAAAAAAUUCCGUCUUUAUUCAAUUUUAAUGAUCCAAAACACUACAUACCGUUGAAGAAAUCAUGGAAAAUCACUGUUGGUGACUACUGUAAAGUGGUAAAUUUAUUAUUAAAGACCUAUAUAAUAAUAUGCCCUGAAACCAAAACUGUUACUAUGCACUUAUUAUACUGUACACAGAUGAAUACAACAUUUUAUAUAAUUUAUGCAUUGUGUGUCUCACAAACCAAAAGAAAUACCUUCUUUUACAGAACAAAGCAUAGGUUAGGCAAAUAUGAGACUCUGCUUGCCUCAUAAUUGUUGUAAUUUGAAUUAUAUUGUAAUUUUAGUUGGCAGGAAAAUACCUGUAAUUAACUGUGAUGAGGUAUUUGGAACUCAGGAGAUUUUCAUUGCUACUAUCAAUUUCUUUAGAACUUUCAGUGCUAAUGUUUUACUACUUAUUUUAGUUUGCCAUUACCAGUAAUCAAAAUUAUAUUAAGCUUUUGUAGUUAGUGAAAACAGAACCAUAAACAUGUCAGUGAACAAAGGAACCCUUUGUCAUUUCCAAGCGCCAUUUGUUUGUUGUCAGUGCCAAGCACAUUACCUGAAUUGUUCGUGUAACUUCAUGAAAGUUAACUUGAAGAUAAGGAAUAAAAAGUAGUGAAAAUCUGUAGGAGAACUUCUAACAAUUAAUCACUUAUGUACUCCAUGCAAUGCACCAUUCAUUUUCUGUAUCAUGAGCUGACAGAGCUGGGAGUCUGAUCAUAGUGCUCUUCAUUUUUGUUUUGUUUCUCCCUUACCAUUCGCUGUUAGUUUGAAGAUCGUCAAAAGGAGAAUGUAAUAAAACUUUGUGGCAGAUUAAAACUUUGUGUUGGCUAGAACUCAAACCCAAAACCACAGUAUUCACAUGCAGUGCUCCUACUGAUUGCGCCAUGCAGGUGAGACUCACAAUUAAUGCUGCCAGUUUCUGUGCUGCCAAUAUCUCUCUGCAACAUUCCAGAUUUAACAGAAGUCCUGCUGCCCACCAUGCUGAACGAAGACUUCUGAAAUAAAUUUUUAAUUUGCCAGGAAGUUUCAGAACAUUUCACACUCCACACUAUAGUUAUGGAACAGUAGACCAACAGAAUUAAUUGCUUAAUUGUGAUGAAUGACUUGUGGCUGCCUGAGACAUUAAUGGCAAGCAGCUCUGUGUCUGGAGUUUACUCUGAUGUAUUCGACUACAACUCAAAGAGGUACAGGUGCACACAAUGUAGUAAAACUUACAUGUGGAAGACUACUUUGGCAAGACAUGUAAAAUAUGAAUGUGGCAAACCUCCACAGUUUCAGUGUCCUUUUUGCCAGAAAAGAAGUCAUAGGAAGAGCAAUAUUGAACAACACAUCCGGUGUCACCAUAGAAUGUAGUGAAUUAUUUCAGGAUUGAUAAAUGUUGAGGAAUGAAAAUAAAGAAAUGAGUGUAUUUCUACUUAAAAUUUUAAUGUACACUGAAAAUAUAAGAUUGAUGUCAGUGAUUUGUAAUAUAAAUAAAUUCUCUGUUAGAAAGUUAUUUUCUUUCUGUCAGUGACUAAUAAUUCAUGAAUACAGAGAGCUCCAGAGACAAUUUUAUGAACAGUGCACAUACUAGAUCAUGUAUUUAUAAAAAUAUGUGAUCUAGACAGUUCUUUGUUUGUAAAAUUAUAAAACAAGAUCACUGUUUUCUCUUGGUGACACAGAGCCACCUCUCUGUAUUAAAGACUGUGUGAAAAUUCUGUUGUUGAACAUGGGGUAUUGCAGUCAUGCUAUUCUCCAUUUACAGGAAUAUAACUUUUACUGUUAUUCAAUCAUUUAUUCAUAAUGUAGUUGCUGAAUACAGCAUGCAUUA